rnacentral:rRNA from 1 species
AGGCUUUGAUCCUGGCUCAGGACGAACGCUGGCGGCGUGCUUAACACAUGCAAGUCGAACGGAAAGGCCCUGCUUUUGUGGGGUGCUCGAGUGGCGAACGGGUGAGUAACACGUGAGUAACCUGCCCUUGACUUUGGGAUAACUUCAGGAAACUGGGGCUAAUACCGGAUAGGAGCUCCUGCUGCAUGGUGGGGGUUGGAAAGUUUCGGCGGUUGGGGAUGGACUCGCGGCUUAUCAGCUUGUUGGUGGGGUAGUGGCUUACCAAGGCUUUGACGGGUAGCCGGCCUGAGAGGGUGACCGGCCACAUUGGGACUGAGAUACGGCCCAGACUCCUACGGGAGGCAGCAGUGGGGAAUAUUGCACAAUGGGCGGAAGCUGAUGCAGCAACGCCGCGUGCGGGAUGACGGCCUUCGGGUUGUAAACCGCUUUCGCCUGUGACGAAGCGUGAGUGACGGUAAUGGGUAAAGAAGCACCGG